AGUGAACGCUGGCGGUAGGCCUAACACAUGCAAGUCGAACGGCAGCACAGUAAGAGCUUGCUCUUACGGGUGGCGAGUGGCGGACGGGUGAGGAAUACAUCGGAAUCUACUUUUUCGUGGGGGAUAACGUAGGGAAACUUACGCUAAUACCGCAUACGACCUACGGGUGAAAGCAGGGGAUCUUCGGACCUUGCGCGAUUGAAUGAGCCGAUGUCGGAUUAGCUAGUUGGCGGGGUAAAGGCCCACCAAGGCGACGAUCCGUAGCUGGUCUGAGAGGAUGAUUAGCCACACUGGAACUGAGACACGGUCCAGACUCCUACGGGAGGCAGCAGUGGGGAAUAUUGGACAAUGGGCGGAAGCCUGAUCCAGCCAUACCGCGUGGGUGAAGAAGGCCUUCGGGUUGUAAAGCCCUUUUGUUGGGAAAGAAAAGCAGCAGGUUAAUACCCCGCUGUUCUGACGGUACCCAAAGAAUAAGCAACGGCUAACUUCGUG
rnacentral:rRNA from 1 species